AUGAACGCUAGCGGCAGGCUUAAUACAUGCAAGUCGUGGGGCAGCAUGAGUAGCAAUACUUGAUGGCGACCGGCAAACGGGUGAGGAACACGUACACAACCUUCCUUCAAGCGGGGAAUAGCCCAGAGAAAUUUGGAUUAAUACCCCAUAAUAUAUUUGAUAAGGCAUCUUAUUAAUAUUAAAGCUUCGGCACUUGAUGAUGGGUGUGCGGCUGAUUAGAUAGUUGGCGGGGUAACGGCCCACCAAGUCUACGAUCAGUAGCUGAUGUGAGAGCAUGAUCAGCCACACGGGCACUGAGACACGGGCCCGACUCCUACGGGAGGCAGCAGUAAGGAAUAUUGGACAAUGGACGAAAGUCUGAUCCAGCCAUGCCGCGUGAAGGAUUAAGGUCCUCUGGAUUGUAAACUUCUUUUAUAUGGGACGAAAAAGGGCAUUCUUGUUCACUUGACGGUACCAUAUGAAUAAGCACCGGCUAACUCCGUG
rnacentral:rRNA from 1 species